rnacentral:misc_RNA from 1 species
AGUAUUUUAUACUAACUCAACACUUGUGAACUGUAUGGAAUGGACUUAUCUCCUCCCAAUUUAUUAUUAUUUUUAGACUGAAUAUCACUUUAUAUAACAAUUAUAAAACUUUUAGCAACGGAUCUCUGGGCUCU